rnacentral:rRNA from 1 species
GACGAACGCUGGCGGCGUGCCUAAUACAUGCAAGUAGAACGCUGAAGAGAGGAGCUUGCUCUUCUUGGAUGAGUUGCGAACGGGUGAGUAACGCGUAGGUAACCUGCCUGGUAGCGGGGGAUAACUAUUGGAAACGAUAGCUAAUACCGCAUAAAAUGGAUUAUCGCAUGAUAAUCCAUUGAAAGGUGCAAAUGCAUCACUACCAGAUGGACCUGCGUUGUAUUAGCUAGUUGGUGGGGUAACGGCUCACCAAGGCGACGAUACAUAGCCGACCUGAGAGGGUGAUCGGCCACACUGGGACUGAGACACGGCCCAGACUCCUACGGGAGGCAGCAGUAGGGAAUCUUCGGCAAUGGACGGAAGUCUGACCGAGCAACGCCGCGUGAGUGAAGAAGGUUUUCGGAUCGUAAAGCUCUGUUGUAAGAGAAGAACGAGUGGAGAGGGAAAGUUCAC